CCUGUGCAUCCUGCAUCAAUAGAGCCAUGCCCUUCUUUAGGGCAUGUUCCGAGAUUGGGCUGGCCAUUUGCCAG
rnacentral:pre_miRNA from 1 species